GGAGGAUCCGAGCGUUANCCGGAAUNANUGGGUNUAAAGGGAGCGNAGGCGGACGCNNAAGUCAGUCGNGAAAGNUNGCGGCUCAACCGUAAAANCGCAGUUGAUACUGGCNGUCUCGAGUACAGUAGAGGUGGGCGGAAUUCGUGGUGUAGCGGUGAAAUGCUUAGAUAUCACGAAGAACUCCGAUUGCGAAGGCAGCUCACUGGACUGCAACUGACACUGAUGCUCGAAAGUGUGGGUAUCAAACAGGAUUAGAUACCCUGGUAGUCCACACGGUAAACGAUGAAUACUCGCUGUUUUGCGAUAUACGGCAAGCGGCCAAGCGAAAGCGUUAAGUAUUCCACCUGGGGAGU
rnacentral:rRNA from 1 species